rnacentral:rRNA from 1 species
UACGGAGGGUGCGAGCGUUGUCCGGAAUCAUUGGGCGUAAAGGGCGCGUAGGUGGCCCGGUCAGUUCGUGGUGAAAGCGCGGGCUCAACCCUGCGUCGGCCAUGAAUACUGCCGCGGCUGGAGCACUGUAGAGGCAGGCGGAAUUCCGGGUGUAGCGGUGGAAUGCGUAGAGAGUCCGGAAGAACACCGGUGGCGAAGGCGGCCUGCUGGGCAGUUGCUGACACUGAGGCGCGGACAGCGUGGGAGCAAACAGG